UACGUAGGGGGCAAGCGUUGUCCGGAAUCAUUGGGCGUAAAGAGCGUGUAGGCGGCCCGGUAAGUCCGCUGUGAAAGUCCAGGGCUCAACCCUGGGAUGCCGGUGGAUACUGUCGGGCUCGAGUCCGGAAGAGGAGUGUGGAAUUCCUGGUGUAGCGGUGAAAUGCGCAGAUAUCAGGAGGAACACCAAUAGCGAAGGCAGCUCGCUGGGACGUUACUGACACUGAGGCGCGAAAGCGUGGGGAGCGAACAGG
rnacentral:rRNA from 1 species